rnacentral:rRNA from 1 species
GAUGAACGCUGGCGGCGUGCCUAAUACAUGCAAGUCGAGCGAACAGACGAGGAGCUUGCUCCUCUGACGUUAGUGGCGGACGGGUGAGUAACACGUGGAUAACCUACCUAUAAGACUGGGAUAACUUCGGGAAACCGGAGCUAAUACCGGAUAAUAUAUUGAACCGCAUGGUUCAAUAGUGAAAGACGGUUUUGCUGUCACUUAUAGAUGGAUCCGCGCCGCAUUAGCUAGUUGGUAAGGUAACGGCUUACCAAGGCAACGAUGCGUAGCCGACCUGAGAGGGUGAUCGGCCACACUGGAACUGAGACACGGUCCAGACUCCUACGGGAGGCAGCAGUAGGGAAUCUUCCGCAAUGGGCGAAAGCCUGACGGAGCAAUGCCGCGUGAGUGAUGAAGGUCUUCGGAUCGUAAAACUCUGUUAUUAGGGAAGAACAAAUGUGUAAGUAACUAUGCACGUCUUGACGGUACCUAAUCAGAAAGCCACGGCUAACUACGUG